ACCGCGAAAGCUCAGCUGGUAGAGCAUCUGCCCGGUAUGCGGAGCGUCGCCGGUUCGAUUCCGGCUCGCGGCG
rnacentral:tRNA from 1 species